UACAGAGGGUGCGAACGUUGUUCGGAAUCACUGGGCAUAAAGCGCACGUAGGCGGCACCGCAAGUGUGGGGUGAAAUCCCACGGCUUACCCGUGGAACUGCCUGGCAGACUGCGGUGCUAGAGGUUGGUAGGGGAGAGCGGAACUCUUGGUGGAGCGGUGAAAUGCGUAGAUAUCAAGAGGAACACCGGUGGCGAAGGCGGCUCUCUGGUCCAAUCCUGACGCUGAGGUGCGAAGGCUAGGGAGCAAACGGG
rnacentral:rRNA from 1 species